rnacentral:lncRNA from 1 species
GAUAAAAUAAAUGGGGUAAAAAAAUAGUUCAAAGUUGAAAAUAAAACAUGAUAAAAAUAAUAAAAUUGAAGAGGAAAAAAUAAAAAUGAGAUAAAGUGCAUGCAUUGAGGGUUGAACCCCUGACCUUGGGGUCAUGGGGAGAUCAACCCCCUCUUCCACUGGGCCAAGCGCAUGCUUGUGAUAAAGAAAUGAACCGAACAAAUAAAAUAAUAAAAACAAGUAAUAAAUGGGAUGCACG